CUCUUGGAACAGUCAGCUGUAUUGUAUUCGUGCAUACGUCAUAGCCGGAGCCGCCGGAGGACGACUUUGAUCAAAAUCCGAUCAGCCAUCUUCGAUUAAUCGACGAUUAAUUUAAUUCGCGGAAUCGCGUAAAAAAAUUCAAACUGAGGGACAGAGAUGACGAGUUUCCAUCUCAGAGCGAUAGUACAGCUGCAGCUUCGCGGAUCAGUCGUCUCGUUUUCCAAUCGUCGCUGCGUACGCCGUACACUCACUUCUGAAGAUGCGGAAGGAACCAUGUGAUUCUUACCUCGGGGAAGAGGCAAAGAGAAGCUAUAUCGAGUCUCCACGGGAAAACGAUCGGGCAAAUGCGAGAGAGAUCGAUGCGAGCAUAACCUGGAUGAGAGAUCGUGUGCAAGAAGUUUCUUGGAAUGUUCUCGAUGAAUACAGAAGAUAUGUCGGUUAAGAGCCGAGGUGAUCGCGCAUCGAGCUCGAGAGAUCAACGGCCGUAGAUAAGUGCUCCGGGACACGGAGUCGCUCGUCCUCGUCGCGUUCGAAAAUUUCGAAACGUCAAUCCGUCACUCUCGCGACCACAGUACAUACACAACACAUCCGUAUUCAUUCGGCCAAUCGGCCCCUUUCGCCUGUCGUUCGCAGCGCCGCGCCGCCGAGCGCGACUAGGGUUGGACUAGUGUCGAAUUGGCGCGCGCAAAUUAUUAGCUAGCUUGGUGAGCGGCUCCUUCUAAACUCCAAUUAACUUAAUUAGACAUUAGUAAUUUGUCAAGCGACGUUUGUAUUUUGGUAACAUGGACACAAUUGUGUUUUGCUGUUUUAAAGACGUAUUGACUCUGUAAUAUCAGUUAAAAGUUAUCGAAAUUUAAAGACUGCAGACUUCUGAGGUUAGGUUUAUACUUUUUUUUUUAAAUUUAGAUUUUAAUUUCUCUCGCGCGAUUCUCUCCCCCUUUUUCUAUUGAAAAGAAAAAAAAAAGGAAAAAUGCAUAAAAUUCAGCUAAAAAAUAGGUCUAAUGACAACAAACAUUUGGUAUGUGAUUCUAAUUUAGCCCUGAAAAUUAAUCUAGUAAUAUUUUGUAGUUGUAAUAAUUUUUUUUUAUUAUCUUGAUAUAUCAUCAACUAGCAGAAAAGAAUGAUAUUGUACAAUUUCUGUUCGAGCAAUUCUGCUAGUCGAAUAUUAAUCGGAGUUUAGUCGAGGUCGCCAUAAUUCUAUGUAGAUACCCGUUUUUUUUUUUUGCCGCGCGACAUCAAUCGACUGGUAACAUUAUUCGCGCCUGCCUUUGCGAGAAGUCUAAUUUAUUCGUAUUUAACACGAUCGUGAUGCGCCGUACGCAUUUUAAUAACACGCAUGCAAACAACAUGGUCACAGCCAUAUAUUGUGAUUGCAGGAUCUUCCUCGAAUUCCACACUUAAAUGCACACACACAGAUAUAUGUAUACACGAUAUGUUGCAAAAGGUACUGAAAGUGAUAUAUUACGAAACGAGAGUAUCUGUAUCGCAAAAUGUUUGCGGUAAGAGCUGCCGAAGCGUUUAGAAGAGCGUUCCUUCAGUUUUACGAGGAGGUACUCUCGGACGUUAGAUAACGAGACGACGACGACGCUCAACACGAAGAAAACUAGACCGAAGAGAGUGGUCAGGGCUCUGCACCACUGCCGCUUCCGUUUCGCUCUCGCGAUUGUCCGGCCUAAACGCUCGGCCUGCGUCACGUCGAGCGUGAAAUCAAAAUCCUCGCCCAAACCUCGGAUAGCCAGGCGACCGUUCCAGUCGUUCGCGUUCAACGGAGCGAUCGUGUCUUCGGUGGACGACCCGACGUCGCUGCACUCCAGCUGCUGGAACAAUGUUCCUCCGUACAGUACGCUCGUAUAUGAACGUUGAUUGCGCAAAAUUGAUCGAACAAUGUAAAUUCGAAAAGUCUUUUACGGAGAAAAAGCUAAGCUUGUUCGCACCCGAGGUACAUUAAUUUUAAUCUCAGCUUAACUUGCUUCUUUUUCUAAUUCUUAAGAAUUGGAAGAAUCUCUUAAAUUCUUAAGAAAGUACGUUAAAUCGAAAUGAAAGUUAAUCUACUUUAGAGCAAACGGGCCAUAUGCCCAAUUUCUUCACCUCUAGAUAAUUUUGUUCAUGAGAUAUAUAUUUUCCAGAGAAUAUGAUAAUUUCUAUUAAAAUUCUAGUACAUUUUGUUUCGAAAGUUAGUAGUAUCAAGGAUAAGUUAUCCAUCAAGUACCUAACCAGAGAGAUUUCAGUGAAGAAAAUAAAUUUUUAGUUAAUUGAAUAUCUUUAGCUGAACGAUAGUUAAUACGAUAGUCGGAGAUGUGAAGAAAUCGGGCAUUGGUAUAAUUUUAUUUCCGAAAGCGAGCCAGAUCGAGCGUACUUGCUGGUGCCCAGAAACGUCAGAUGAUUGAAUAGUUCAGACAGUUUGAACUAGAGUAUCAAGUAGUUCAAAUCUUUCAAACUAAAGUAUUCGAACUGUUUCAUUUCAGAUCCGAAAUUAUUAUAGUUCAAAUUAGAGAUGUGCAAAUCGAGCGUUUUACUUGAAAUCGAAUCGAACCUUUUUGAUAACAUAAACUAAAUCGAAUUGAAUCGAAUCGAAUCACUUGAUGCGAAUUCGAAUCUAGUUUUUUCGUACUUACGUUUCAUGUCAAUUUAAACGUAAUAAAGUAUUUUCAAUGACGUUACCUUUUUAAUAGAAAAUUAAUCGCAAGAAUUUUAGAAAAUAGUUUUUAAUAAUUGUGUGUUAAGUGAAAAUUUAUAUUAAGUACUAAACAAUAAGUGUGAAGAUAUUAAACUGUCCGAAAUA